GAUACUCCGAAGUCAUCAAAGGACAUUCUAAAGUGUGCCAGCAACUAGACUUUGGGAUUCCCAUCUAUAGACACUUUCGCUGGUACUCUUUUAGGCACGUAGACAUUGGCAUGUUUUAAUUUUGUUUGCUUACCUUAUGAUAGAAUUGUUUAGUUCUUUAUUGGUCCUGUUUAUAUAUUUGUAUAUUGUUUUUCUCUGUUUAUUUUUAUUACUUUGUUCCCCACUCUGGCACUGAUAGCACUUGAUGAAGAGUGGGCUAUGAAUAUUUGAAAUAAAUAAAUAAAUUCUUUUAACUACUAUUUUUAAAAUAAUCUUUAAAUGUAUUUAAUUAUUUUUACUAAUCAACUUAAGAUUUAUUUUAAAACCACAGGUUUGUUGUGCUGAUAAAAGGCAUCAGGUGGAGAUUUCCAUGUAUGCCUUCCUGAGACCCUUGCAGAAACAGAGGCACAAUCAAGUUUGGAUCCUGACAAGACAGAAGUACUGUUUGUGGGGGACAGAGUAUGGGUGUGGAGGACUCCCUGGUCCUGAAUGGGGUAACUGUGCCUCUGAAGGACCAGGUGCGCAGUCAUUUUGGAUUCACAGCUGUCCAUGGAGGCACAGGUCAGUUCUGUGUCCAGGGCAGCUGUCUACCAGCUCAACCUGGUACGCCGGCUGAUGCCCUACCUGCCCGCAGACUGUCUCACCAGAGUGGUGCAUGCUCUGGUAAUCUCCCCCUUGGACUACUGCAAUGUGCUCUACAUGGGACUACCUUUGAAGAUGACCCGGAAACUUUGACUAAUCCAGAAUGUGGCAGCUAGACUGGUGACUGGGAGUGGCCGACGAGGCCAUAUAACACCGGUCCUGAAAGACCUACAUUGGCUCCCAGUAUGUUUCCAGGCACAAUUCAAAGUGUUGGUGCUGACCUUUAAAGCCCUAAACGGCCUCAGCCCAGUAUACCUGAUGGAGCGUCGCCACCCUCAUCAUCCAGCCCAGACAC